rnacentral:rRNA from 1 species
GGGGAGCAAACAGGAUUAGAUACCCUGGUAGUCCACGCCCUAAACGAUGUCAACUAGUUGUUGGGGAUUCAUUUCCUUAGUAACGUAGCUAACGCGUGAAGUUGACCGCCUGGGGAGUACGGUCGCAAGAUUAAAACUCAAAGGAAUUGACGGGGACCCGCACAAGCGGUGGAUGAUGUGGAUUAAUUCGAUGCAACGCGAAAAACCUUACCUACCCUUGACAUGCCACUAACGAAGCAGAGAUGCAUUAGGUGCUCGAAAGAGAAAGUGGACACAGGUGCUGCAUGGCUGUCGUCAGCUCGUGUCGUGAGAUGUUGGGUUAAGUCCCGCAACGAGCGCAACCCUUGUCUCUAGUUGCUACGAAAGGGCACUCUAGAGAGACUGCCGGUGACAAACCGGAGGAAGGUGGGGAUGACGUCAAGUCCUCAUGGCCCUUAUGGGUAGGGCUUCACACGUCAUACAAUGGUGCAUACAGAGGGUUGCCAAGCCGCGAGGUGGAGCUAAUCCCAGAAAAUGCAUCGUAGUCCGGAUCGUAGUCUGCAACUCGACUACGUGAAGCUGGAAUCGCUAGUAAUCGCGGAUCAGCAUGCCG